rnacentral:rRNA from 1 species
CCUACGGGAGGCAGCAGUGGGGAAUAUUGGACAAUGGGCGAAAGCCUGAUCCAGCCAUGCCGCGUGUGUGAAGAAGGCCUUCGGGUUGUAAAGCACUUUCAGUGGGGAAGAAAGCCUUGGGGCUAAUACCCUCGAGGAAGGACAUCACCCACAGAAGAAGCACCGGCUAACUCCGUGCCAGCAGCCGCGGUAAUACGGAGGGUGCGAGCGUUAAUCGGAAUUACUGGGCGUAAAGCGCGCGUAGGCGGUCUGAUAAGCCGGUUGUGAAAGCCCCGGGCUCAACCUGGGAACGGCAUCCGGAACUGUCAGGCUAGAGUGCAGGAGAGGAAGGUAGAAUUCCCGGUGUAGCGGUGAAAUGCGUAGAGAUCGGGAGGAAUACCAGUGGCGAAGGCGGCCUUCUGGACUGACACUGACGCUGAGGUGCGAAAGCGUGGGUAGCAAACAGGAUUAGAUACCCUGGUAGU